rnacentral:rRNA from 1 species
ACCGUGGGAAAUCUAGAGCUAAUACGUGCGGUAUCUUGGCGGGCUCUCGGGUUCGUCAAAGCAUUUAUUAGACUAAACCAACUACUAUGUUUUUCAUAGUAAGGGGAAUCUGGAUAACUUUGCUGAUCGUAUGGCCUUGUGCCGGCGACGUUUCAAUUGAGUUUCUGCCCUAUCAACUUGUUGGUAAGGUAUUGGCUUACCAAGGUUGCAACGGGUAACGGGGAAUCAGGGUUCGAUUCCGGAGAGGGAGCCUGAGAAACGGCUACCACAUCCAAGGAAGGCAACAGGCGCGCAAAUUACCCAAUCUAGACAGUAGGAGGUGGUGAAGAGAAUUACUAAAUGGUGGUCCAAUGGAUCACUUGUUUGGAAUGAACGUAACUUAAGAAAUUCGUUGAUAAACAACUGGAGGGCAAGUCCUGGUGCCAGCAGCCGCGGUAAUUCCAGCUCCAGUAGUUUGCUUUAAAGUUGUUGCGUUUAAAACGCUCGUAGUUGGAUCACGCAGCAGUGUUCAGUUAUCUUUUGUCCGGUCUCAACGGAUGCGAUCGUCUCAGACGACCUUUUGUUGGGGCCGGCUUUUGAUGCUAUGCUGGAUGCUGUUAGUUGCACGUGAGAUGGAUUGUUGGCCUUAAAUGAGCCGGUAUUCUUGUCUUGCGGGGUGUGCCUUGAAUAAAACAGAGUGCUUAAAGCAGGUUAUUGCCUGAAUGUUAUAGCAUGGAACGAACAAUCGUGUACUUGUGCGUGUUAUUAGACGGUCACGAGCUUUUAGAUUGUGGUGUCU